GACGAACGCUGGCGGCACGCCUAACACAUGCAAGUCGAACGGACUUAAAAGAGCUUGCUUUUGUGAGUUAGUGGCGGACGGGUGAGUAACACGUGAGCAACCUGCCUCUGAGAGGGGGAUAGCUUCUGGAAACGGAUGGUAAUACCCCAUAAAAUAUAAAUAUCGCAUGAUAGAUAUAUCAAAGAAAUUCGCUCAGAGAUGGGCUCGCGUCUGAUUAGCUAGUUGGUGAGGUAGCGGCUCACCAAGGCGACGAUCAGUAGCCGGACUGAGAGGCUGAACGGCCACAUUUGGACUGAGACACGGCCCCGACUCCGACGGGAGGGAGGAGUGGGGAAUACUGCACAAUGGAGGGAACUCUGAUGCCGCGAUGCCGCGUGGAGGAAGAAGGUUGUCGGAUUGUAAACUCCUUUUAGCAGGGACGAUAAUGACGGUACCUGAAGAAAAAGCUCCGGCUAACUACGUG
rnacentral:rRNA from 1 species